GCCAGCUUGGCGCAGGGGUAACGCGUCGCACUUGUAUACGAAGACUUAAUCUUUGGAAUUAUGCAAUGCGAAGAUCGUGUGUUCGAUUCACACAGUUGGCA